rnacentral:rRNA from 1 species
CCUACGGGAGGCAGCAGUGGGGAAUCUUGCACAAUGGGCGAAAGCCUGACGCAGCAACGCCGCGUGCGGGAAGAAGGCUUUCGGGCUGUAAACCGCUUUCAGCAGGAACGAAAAUGACGGUACCUGCAGAAGAAGGAGCGGCCAACUAUGUGCCAGCAGCCGCGGUGAUACAUAGGCUUCAAGCGUUGUCCGGAUUUAUUGGGCGUAAAGAGUUCGUAGGCGGUCGAGUAAGUCGGGUGUGAAAAUUCUGGGCUCAACCCAGAGACGCCACCCGAUACUGCUUGACUUGAGUUCGAUAGGGGAGUGGGGAAUUCCUAGUGUAGCGGUGAAAUGCGCAGAUAUUAGGAGGAACACCGGUGGCGAAGGCGCCACUCUGGAUCGAUACUGACGCUGAGGAACGAAAGCAUGGGUAGCAAACAGGAUUAGAUACCCUGGUAGUCCAUGCCGUAAACGGUGGGCACUAGGUGUGGGUUUCUAUUAACGAAAUCCGCGCCGUCGCUAACGCAUUAAGUGCCCCGCCUGGGGAGUACGGUCGCAAGACUAAAACUCAAAAGGAAUUGACGG